GAUGUAGUUCAGUGAUGGAACAAUUGUCUAGCAUGCAGGAGGCCCUGGGUUCCAUCCCCAGCACUAUCA
rnacentral:tRNA from 1 species